rnacentral:lncRNA from 1 species
CUGCUUCCUACUUGGUCUCUGGAGGUCUUGUGGACCUCCUUGCUGGAUGAGAGACAGCACAUGCCACAGUCUGGCUGGGCACAAAUAACCGAGCCACCACAAAGCCUUGUAGGUUCAAACAGCAGCAAGAGCCACCCCAUUGCCCGACAGCAAAGGUCAAAUAUACAAUUCAAUCAAUCCAGCAUCACAGCAAUUAUAUAUAGCUUAACUCAAACCAUCAUCUCAAUGGUUCGCCAUUGUCAUCCUUCAACCAUUCUCUCUGGCAAAUGCCAGGUGUCAUUCUGACUGGGCCGUGGCUCUCAACAAGCACAUGUAGAGUAGAACCUCUGAGAAUACAGACAUAAGAUUUUGCUAUAGAAAUAUUCUGCACUACCAGCUGUCUCUUCUUCAUGGACCUGCACUGAGUAUUCAUCAGGACACUUGGCUUCAGGGAGGAGAAUACAGAAAGUCUUCCUCUGAGGAGGAAGGGACAGGCUGCCUAUAGGAGAAAAGCAUAAAUUUCCCUGUACUUUUUUCCCUAAGAACAAAUGCUUUAAGCAAUGGGGAAGGGCAACCCUGUGACCUCAGGCAUAUAUGAGAACCCACCGUAGCUGGAGAAAUGGAAAAUAAAUGAACUGUGACUCCUCAGGGAUGGGCAGGAAGCUAUCCUUAGUUGAGAGCAGUAGAGAUUUUCCUAAUGCUGGUGGGAAGGGGAGAAGGAGGAGACAAGAUCACAGAGAAAGACUUUUCCCUCCCCCAGCCAGAAACAGAAAAAUCAGACAUGAGACAUGCUUAAGACUGAGGAUUAACCAAAACAACCGAGAAUCUCAUUCCUUCUCUUCACUGGGCCAAGAAACCCUAAGGGAAAAGCAUUGUAGUCUCCCAGUAGAGAAGUAACAAGGGCAGGAAUACUUUCUUAGACACAGGUGCAGCAAGGAAGAACUAGGCUAGGA